rnacentral:lncRNA from 1 species
AUGGGAUCAGAACUGGAACCAACAGCUUUCCUCCAAGCCGCCAACUACAGGGGUUUGCAGUUCACCCCCAGAUGCUGUUUCCUUGGCCAGGGGCAACAAAUGGGAAGUGGCUGCACCAAGCCAAGGUCAUCCUGCCCAGGGUCAAGAGAAAUCUUUUCCAAAGAAAUGCACUGUUCAUCACAGUUGAACAUACAGCCUCUUUCCAGAUGUGGCACUCCACAAAUGUGCAGAUGCUGUUAUACCAAAAGCUGUUGUUUGAGCUUCAACUCCUUUCAGUUCUCCACCUCCUAUUGGAAAGACGGCAUGGAUUUCCCACUCAAUUCUCUUCUGGAUGUUAAUGGACAUGGAGCCCCCUCUGAAUGAAUCUUCUUACCUGAGUAACUUGCACAGCAGUGAAACAGCUGAGCAACACGUGAGGGUACAACCCUACUACUCUUGAGAAAUAUAUUUUGCUCCUGAACCUUAAGCCAGUUUUACUUCAUGAAUGCUUUGGAAAAACACAGUUCUACAACACAGAUCACUGCAAGCAGAUCUAACAUCAGCAGCACUACUCAUGAAAGCGACACCAGUGGCCCUUUGGAUCUGAGCCCUGGGCAGAAUGAGGCAGAGGUCCCUUGGCUCCACCAGGCUGUGGUUGCUGUAAUUCCCUGAGUCAGACAGAAGUCAGACCUGGCCCUCAACCAGACAAUACUGACAUACUCAAGUCCUUCAAAAAUAUGAAUAGGCACAGAAAAUUUUUAAGCAGUUUUAGUUCAAUUUCUUCAAUGGAUUUAAAGUCAUCUUUCAGUCAACUGCUGUUGACAGAGGUAUGGACAGAUACUGUUGCAUCAGGGACCAGAAGGUACUGUACCCUGACAGCAGGGAAAUCCUGCAACUGAAAUAGCAAAGAGAGCAUAAUCAGGAGUCUUGAAAUACCCACAUCAUGCUAAAUGAACUGAUUAUGAAUGGGUUUAUUACAGUGACAAGCAAAUUAACUAGUAAUAGAGAUGCUUGAAAUGCAACAGAGUGUUACUGAGCUAGAAAGGUCUUCCAUUGGAGGCAGUAUGUAAUGGAAAAGCUGUGUAAUGGUAGAAGGAACACAGUUACAUGCUAUUGUCAUAGUCUCUGGCAAUAAGAUUAAAUGUCAGAAUCUUACAACUAAGAUUCUCUUCCCAACAGAAAGAAAGUUAGAAAAGCAUGGUUUCUCACCAUUUUCAGGCCAGAUCUAUCACACCAAGGAGCCAAGUUUCCAUGCCGAGGGGAAAGAAAGGCCGGCUCUUUACUAGCCUACGGUGAUAGCAGCAGCGGGUGGCACCAGCAGCACCUCGCCGCACCCAGCUCCUGCAGUAAUGAAUGCGGUGUGUCAGUUCUGGGGACUGCACAG